rnacentral:rRNA from 1 species
GGGAAACCGAGUCUUAACUGGGCGUUAAGUUGCAGGGUAUAGACCCGAAACCCGGUGAUCUAGCCAUGGGCAGGUUGAAGGUUGGGUAACACUAACUGGAGGACCGAACCGACUAAUGUUGAAAAAUUAGCGGAUGACUUGUGGCUGGGGGUGAAAGGCCAAUCAAACCGGGAGAUAGCUGGUUCUCCCCGAAAGCUAUUUAGGUAGCGCCUCGUGAAUUCAUCUCCGGGGGUAGAGCACUGUUUCGGCAAGGGGGUCAUCCCGACUUACCAACCCGAUGCAAACUGCGAAUACCGGAGAAUGUUAUCACGGGAGACACACGGCGGGUGCUAACGUCCGUCGUGAAGAGGGAAACAACCCAGACCGCCAGCUAAGGUCCCAAAGUCAUGGUUAAGUGGGAAACGAUGUGGGAAGGCCCAGACAGCCAGGAUGUUGGCUUAGAAGCAGCCAUCAUUUAAAGAAAGCGUAAUAGCUCACUGGUCGAGUCGGCCUGCGCGGAAGAUGUAACGGGGCUAAACCAUGCACCGAAGCUGCGGCAGCGACACUGUGUGUUGUUGGGUAGGGGAGCGUUCUGUAAGCCUGUGAAGGUGUACUGUGAGGUAUGCUGGAGGUAUCAGAAGUGCGAAUGCUGACAUAAGUAACGAUAAAGCGGGUGAAAAGCCCGCUCGCCGGAAGACCAAGGGUUCCUGUCCAACGUUAAUCGGGGCAGGGUGAGUCGACCCCUAAGGCGAGGCCGAAAGGCGUAGUCGAUGGGAAACAGGUUAAUAUUCCUGUACUUGGUGUUACUGCGAAGGGGGGACGGAGAAGGCUAUGUUGGCCGGGCGACGGUUGUCCCGGUUUAAGCGUGUAGGCUGGUUUUCCAGGCAAAUCCGGAAAAUCAAGGCUGAGGCGUGAUGACGAGGCACUACGGUGCUGAAGCAACAAAUGCCCUGCUUCCAGGAAAAGCCUCUAAGCAUCAGGUAACAUCAAAUCGUACCCCAAACCGACACAGGUGGUCAGGUAGAGAAUACCAAGGCGCUUGAGAGAACUCGGGUGAAGGAACUAGGCAAAAUGGUGCCGUAACUUCGGGAGAAGGCACGCUGAUAUGUAGGUGAAGUCCCUCGCGGAUGGAGCUGAAAUCAGUCGAAGAUACCAGCUGGCUGCAACUGUUUAUUAAAAACACAGCACUGUGCAAACACGAAAGUGGACGUAUACGGUGUGACGCCUGCCCGGUGCCGGAAGGUUAAUUGAUGGGGUCAGCGCAAGCGAAGCUCUUGAUCGAAGCCCCGGUAAACGGCGGCCGUAACUAUAACGGUCCUAAGGUAGCGAAAUUCCUUGUCGGGUAAGUUCCGACCUGCACGAAUGGCGUAAUGAUGGCCAGGCUGUCUCCACCCGAGACUCAGUGAAAUUGAACUCGCUGUGAAGAUGCAGUGUACCCGCGGCAAGACGGAAAGACCCCGUGAACCUUUACUAUAGCUUGACACUGAACAUUGAGCCUUGAUGUGUAGGAUAGGUGGGAGGCUUUGAAGUGUGGACGCCAGUCUGCAUGGAGCCGACCUUGAAAUACCACCCUUUAAUGUUUGAUGUUCUAACGUGGACCCGUGAUCCGGGUUGCGGACAGUGUCUGGUGGGUAGUUUGACUGGGGCGGUCUCCUCCUAAAGAGUAACGGAGGAGCACGAAGGUUGGCUAAUCCUGGUCGGACAUCAGGAGGUUAGUGCAAUGGCAUAAGCCAGCUUGACUGCGAGCGUGACGGCGCGAGCAGGUGCGAAAGCAGGUCAUAGUGAUCCGGUGGUUCUGAAUGGAAGGGCCAUCGCUCAACGGAUAAAAGGUACUCCGGGGAUAACAGGCUGAUACCGCCCAAGAGUUCAUAUCGACGGCGGUGUUUGGCACCUCGAUGUCGGCUCAUCACAUCCUGGGGCUGAAGUAGGUCCCAAGGGUAUGGCUGUUCGCCAUUUAAAGUGGUACGCGAGCUGGGUUUAGAACGUCGUGAGACAGUUCGGUCCCUAUCUGCCGUGGGCGCUGGAGAACUGAGGGGGGCUGCUCCUAGUACGAGAGGACCGGAGUGGACGCAUCACUGGUGUUCGGGUUGUCAUGCCAAUGGCACUGCCCGGUAGCUAAAUGCGGAAGAGAUAAGUGCUGAAAGCAUCUAAGCACGAAACUUGCCCCGAGAUGAGUUCUCCCUGACCCUUUAAGGGUCCUGAAGGAACGUUGAAGACGACGACGUUGAUAGGCCGGGUGUGUAAGCGCAGCGAUGCGUUGAGCUAACCGGUACUAAUGAACCGUGAGGCUUAACCUUACAACGCCGAAGGUGUUU